rnacentral:lncRNA from 1 species
AUCCUUUCUUGGAAUCAUGCAUAUUAAAGCGUCACAGCACUUUGUCUAUGUACGUACUCUGACUUAGGCCAAAAGGAGAUUUUUUCUUCAAAUUUAUUCGGUCCUAGAUACUUAACUUCUCCGCAUCUCUUGCGUAUCCUAAGUUCAUGUUGUAUUUCAACAAUCCAUGAAGAACUUUUGUUUUGUGUUUCAAUUAUUAGUGGAGAACCUUCCUCACGAAGUUUUUUAUUUGUGGGAAUCUCGAAUUUCAUAUCCUCCAUCAUAACAAAUUUCUAGCUCAAAUAAUUCUAUAUUAGACGGUAAACUUUUCAUUUCAAAAUUAAAUAAUAGAUUGAAGUUCAUAAUAAAAAAUCAAUUAUAAAAUUUUAAUUUAUAAUUUUUUAUGAAUUUGACCACUUUAAUAAUUAAUAAACUCUAUCUUAAUAAAUAUUUUCAAAAAUUAAAUAUAAAUUACACAAAUUUAUGACAUCGACACAAAGUUUUAUAUGUCUAAUGUUCACAAAAUUAUGUAUAUGUCUAAUGUCCACAAAAUAUUAUCAUGAGAAUGCAAUAUUCUUAUGUUUGAUUUAAUUUUUACAAAAUUAUAUCAAUGUAUAUUUUAUUUUCAUGAAUUUUUGUUACACACGGUUAUUCUAUUUUUAGUCCAAAAUUUAAAGGAUGAAAA